AGUGCUCCUGUUUGAUGCCUCGUCAUGUUACUGUAACAUUGAGAAUUAAUGUUGAUCAAAGUUUUCAAUCUGAGACAACUGGAGCACAUCUGUCACCACUGAUGAAGACCAGGAUGAAGGUGAUUGCCUCCGCCAAGGGCAAGAACGUGUGUCGACAUAAAACGAUGAGCCAUGGUUUAAUGUAGGUUUGGACCGAUCAUGCUCCCCGGAUCCGAAUCAACUUCAGCCAGACCUCCGUCUGGGCCUAUAGUAGCUGCAGGCAGAGCAGCACGCAGCAGUCAGGUGUAGCAGGCAGGAGAAGGCGCGCGGUGC